GGCUUCUCCCCUGGCCCCAGAGCUCCCUGCUGCCGGAGGGGAGGGAGGGGCCCCUCCCCCAGAGCUCUGUGCUGCCUGCCGGCAGGAAGAGACAAGCACCUUCCCCAGAGCUAGCUGCUGCUGGCAGGGAGAGGGCUAGGGGAAGUCCUCUGGCUACAGCCCUGGGGUAGCCUGCACCCCAAACUCCUCAUCCCCUGACCCACCCCAGAGCCCACACCCCCAGCCAGUGCCUUUACCCCCUCCCCGCAUCCCAACCCUCUUCCCAACCCUUAGCCCCCUCCCAAACCCCUCAUCCCCAGCUCCACCCUAGAGUCCUCACCCCUGUCAGAGAGAUGAAAAGAAAACAGAGGAACAAAUUGACCAGCGAACAUUUGAACUGCCUUACUGGGCUUGCGAUGACAGAUUACGAAUACUGCGUGAACAAAGUCAAGGAGGAACAGGCACACUUCCGCUCAUCCAGUUUUUAAAGGGGGACCCUACCACUACCUCAUCACUGUCCAUGGACACCCGCAAGGGUGGAGUCUCACACAAUACAGAUGAGGAUUUUGUGCAUGAUGAUGAGGAGAAUGUGCAGCAGGCAAGCAGACAAUCUGUUCUCCCUGGCAGCCAGGACCUUUUCAUCACCCUGGAGCCAAUACCCUCCCAGGGUGAAUUGUUCCUGGACCCUGAAGAUGGAGAAGGUAUCUCUGAGUUCUGACCUCCCGAAGAUGCUAUUUCCAAGCAGAGGUGCUAGCAAUGAGCAGUGCCCGAGGUGCUGUUAGUGCCAAGAGAUUCUGGAGUGAUGACGUUUCAUGGCCACCACCUUCUUUUCAGCCAAGAACGAGACAUGUCACUGCUCCUGUUAAAGGCCUGGCAGGGACAGUGCUUGCCAGGCAGUGCCCCUUGCUCUGGGCAAUAUCUUAGCAGGCUGUGACUCAGCUCCUUCCCGCCCUGGGAACACUAGGAGAUCGCCUGAUUCAACUUCCUGAAUCACCACACCGAGAGGAGUGUUACCUUCCCCCUCACCCAGAGGCAAUACAAGCUGCGUGAAUAUAACACAAAGAGAAAAUUUAUCCUUCUCUUCUCCCCACCAAUUUCCU